AUAUGAAGUCGGGCCUGCCCAGUGAGUUUAUUUAACGGCCGCGGUACCCUGACCGUGCAAAGGUAGCAUAAUACUUGCCUUAUAAUUGAAGGCUGGAAUGAAUGGUUUGACAAGAGUGUAGCUGUCUCAUUAUAAUUUAAUAGAAUUUUAUUUUAGGAUGAAAAAGUCCUAAUUUAAUUAAAAGACAAGAAGACCCUAUCGAGCUUAAAGUUAAUUAAUAAAAAAUUAUUAUUUGUAAAAAUUAGUUAUUAAAAAUUUUGGUUGGGGCAACUAAGGAGCAAGAAAAGCCUCUUUUUAAAAACUAUACAAACUGGUAAAGAUCCAAUAAUUUUGAUCAAAGAAAAUAGUUACCGUAGGGAUAACAGCAUUAUCUUUUUUGAGAGCUCUUAUCGAAAAAAAGGUUUGUGACCUCGAUGUUGGACCAGAAUAUCCCAAAGAUGCUAGAAGUCU
rnacentral:rRNA from 1 species